CGGGUCAGGGGGCAAGUACCGAUGGCCCUUUCCACGCAUGCGCGUCCUCGCCAAGCGUUUGUUCCCAGCGAGACGUGAGUUUCAGGAGCUGGCGUUGGAACCGCUACGGCGAGCGGCUGGGUUCAAACUUAGUGAAACGCCGCGGAAAUGUGGCGAGGGGCCUCGCUCCCAUAAACCUACCGCUGCAGCGAUGGGCGGCAGCCAGAUCUGAACACACCGUUCCGCGGAAGGAAGAACAGGUCUAAGGCUACAAGAAAAAAGUAAGGAAGUGAUGAAGGGAAGUAAGACGGGAUCUCACCCAAACACACACUGUAGAAUUCUGUUUACGCCAGAGGAGCCCUCCUAUUCGGUUCUGAGCGUCUGUGAGGCCAAAGAUAAACGAUGACUCCGAGAGUAACAUGGCUUACGAUACCCACAUGAUGAAAAGGAGCCAUUGCCUUGUGAGGAUGCAGCAGCCUGCAGGCUAGGAGGCAGGUCCUCGCCAGAACCUGGGCAUGCUGGUACCUGGUGUGAAACUUCCUGGCCGCCAAAACUGUGAGAAAUAAAUGUCUUGUUGUUUAA